ACACACACACACACACACACUAUUAUCUCUCUAUCCUCUCGCCAUUAUCUCUCUAUAUAGUCUCCAUCGUUUACAUUUCAAUUAAACCUUCCCCAAAUUGCUCUUCCUCCUUUAAGCUCCCCUCAAUUGCCACACUUGCUAUUUCAUGCUUAACCCUAUCUCCAUCUUCGAUUUGCUACCAAGAUUUGGAUUUGCCACCAAGAUUUGGAUUUGCCCUUUUUGCUUCCACUGCAACCACUUCACUCCUCACUAUGCCUCCAUCAAAGAUGACAACCUUCCUGCAGAGCUUUUCCCACAGUACACCACCAUCGAGUAUGAGACUCCUAGCUAGGGAGAAGUGUUCAUCUUUGUCGGUUUUAAUGUUGGUGGUCGACGCUUAUAUCAUGAAAGAGGAGAUGGCUUUCCUCAAGUCUGCCACCCUAGACCAUCGGCCUCUUCCCGGAAAAUUCCAUUGUUGACCUCAUUACUUUUGGGACCUUGGUCCAUGUUCAUGAGCUAGGCUUAUGAAUCUUGGUUUUGUGAUGAAUUUGGGAGCUUGGGUUCUUGCAGUGUCCAUCGGUAAAUAAAUCUGGGUAUUGUGAUCAAAUUUGGGUGCUUGGAUUCUUGCUUCUUUUUUUUUUAUAUGAAUCUUGGCACUGUAAAUGAAUUUGGGUUUGAUAAAUCUCAUGUUGUCAUCUGGUAUUGUGAUGAAUUUGGGUUUGAUUGAAUCUGGGUUAUCUCUCAUGCACUAAUUUGGGUAUUGUGAAUCUAAGUUUGAUUGAAAUUUUUUUGUUUGAUUGACAUACAGAAAUUAUAUUUUUAUUUGGGUAUUGUGUUGAAUGACGAUUUAUAUUGCAUUUUUUUUUUCUUU
rnacentral:misc_RNA from 1 species